UUAUAAGAGACAGCAGUAGCCGCGGGAACACGUAGGGUGCGAGCGUUAAUCGGAAUUACUGGGCGUAAAGCGUGCGCAGGCGGCUUUGCAAGGCAGAUGUGAAAUCCCCGGGCUCAACCUGGGAGCUGCAUUUGUGACUGCAGGGCUAGAGUGCGGCAGAGGGAGAUGGAAUUCCGCGUGUAGCAGUGAAAUGCGUAGAUAUGUGGAGGAACACCGAUGGCGAAGGCAAUCUCCUGGGCCUGCACUGACGCUCAUGCACGAAAGCGUGGGGAGCAAACAGGAUUAGAUACCCCUGUAGUCCCUGUCUCUUAUAC
rnacentral:rRNA from 1 species